UUAAAACACCAGUUCCUGUACGAUCACCCAAGUUAAACAACGUCGAGCCUGAUCAGUACCCACAUGGGUGACCGCUUGGGAAUACCUGCUGCUGUAA